CAGUGGAUGGUACAGCCCACUGGCUUCUCAGCGGUCACCUCUCUACCUCUGCCUCUCUCUGCCUGUGUCUCUCUCUCAGUGAGCGAACAUUCAGUCUCUCUCUUACUCUCUGAGUCGUCAGGUUGAAUUUCUCUCUUCUUUUUCCCUUGUUAUGACCCAUUUGAGGAGCACCUUCCAUAGAGACAGACACACCAAGAUGAACGGUGAGCUGAGAGCUGUUCGCACCACUACAGGCAAGAGAGGAAGCAGCGAUCAUGACAGGGUUUUUGAUUAUCAGCGCGUCCCCUCUUCAGUCCCAGUGGAUCCCAUUCCUGUCAAAAGGCCACGCCCUUCAUCUUCCUCCUCUUCCUCAUCAUCUUCCUCCACAGUGGCUCUGAGGAUGAAGAACAGUAGAGCGACCAACAGGAACAACAAGACACACACCUCUGCGUCUGGCAGCAGCAAUGUUAAAUUGAAGAUGGCAGAGCUUCUUGCCAUAAAGAGUGAGCUGACAGUGAUCAAGGUUCAGAUUGAUGGCCUGUUGGACUGCGUAGACAAGAUGGACAGACAGCGGAAGGACUGUUCAGAGUGUCCUCAGAGCAGGGAGUCCAGUGUGUUGAACUCUCCUCACCAAGGUUCAGUCUGCAGUGUGGAGAGAGAGAGUCCUGAACCAGGAGAGGCCAGUGCAGAUGAGUCACUGCACUACCAGGACUACUACCCCCACAGCUACUCCCACAGGCUACCCCAACAGGGCAAAUACUGUGUGUACCACUACAACCCCCAUGUGGCGAUUAUAUACCCAAUACCAUCAAAGUCAGGGGUUUAAAUGGGCUGGAGCCCACUGGCCUUGGCCUCCUGAUAUCACAGUCCUGCCAGAGUUUUUCACUGCAGCAUCACACAGCAGGACAAUCCUUGUUGUCUCCAAACUCAGAGAGACAAUUUACACAGAUAAAGCAUUAUCAUUCUCAGGAGGAUGACCUGUGAUGCUGCAGUCCAGAUCCUUGUAGAACAGAGGCUCACAUUGGUAACAGCUGGUAUUGAAGAUGCUUCCAGAAGAUGUUGGCAACUUGACCUGCAUGAACUCUCCUCUACACCUGAAUUCAUCCAGUACCGUCAGUUUGAUUUGUAUUAUGUUGUACCAUCUUCUGUUCUGGUUUCCAGUUUACGCUGAUGGUAAAAUCUCAGUUGUGUUCCUCACACAUCACUGACACCAGCACUCUAUAUUAAAAAUAUCUUUUAACUUUAAAACCAUACUGGUUAGAUGAUCACCACUGAUUUCAACUACAGUAAUAUCAAUAGGUUCAAAAAAUUAGCUUACAGCAACUUCCUCUUAAGACCCAAGCUUUGGUUGGCCUUGCAUUUUAGAUUUCUUCAAAUUAUUUGGGAAAAGGAGUAACCAAUAAAUAUAAUAAUUGGAUAAUAUCAAAUAUCUCAUUAUUAUGUUUAUUAUAUUUAUAUUGUUAUUGUUGUUAUUAUUAUUAAUAUUCUUAUUUUGUUAUUAUUAUUAUUAUUAUUAUUAUUAUUAUUAUUAUUAUUAUUAUUAGUAGUAGUAGUAGUAGUAGUAGUAGUAUUAACAAUACGCUCUUUAAAAAAAAAAGAUGUUUAGGAGGUUAAAAUUUCUUCAUUCAAAUAAUUCUUUGUAAUGAGCAAUUUAUUAGAUUUUAUUUGGGAUUUUUUUAGUAAUGCAAUCAAGGGUCUGUCGACAUCUUUGCCUCAAUCAAACAACAUUUUAUUCAUUGGUCGCAAAGUUAACAUUGGACUGUAGAUGUAUUUUCUUCGCUUUUGGCCUGAUCCGUCCCCUAACCACGCUGUCCUGCUGGACUCCCCACUGAUCACCAUUAAUGAAGUCAGUUUGGCAGCAGCUGGCAGCUCCUUAUCACACAAUUUAUUUUCAUCAGGCCUGCUUUCAUUAUGUGUAACCAGCUGUGUGCAGGACUGCAUUAUAGUUCUGAGUUUAAGCCUGAAUGAGCAUAGUUUUAUGACUCCCUGGGUCUACACUGUUCAAUUCACUCAGAAAAACAGCUAUAAAGUGAUAUAUGGACUCUGACAAUUUCCUGAAAUGAACACUAGCUCAGAAGGAAAAUUGCAUGUAGUGGAUAUAAAUUGGAAGAUUACAAUUUUCCACCGUGAAUAUGAAUCUUUUUACGAUAACAUCCAUGACCGUGACAUUUUCAGCGGUUAGUUAAAUUCAAUUUUGCUGAAACUUUAUUUGAUCACUUGUUAGUUUAGGUUAGCAAACAAAUUUAUCAAGAAAAAUGUUAGAAUACAUUUAGCAGCUUAAUCACUGGCUUUAAAAUUAGCUUAAAGCACAGUUUUUGAUAAUUGGAUCUGCUCUUGGUUUGUUUCACAUUAACUCUUCAACGAUUAGUUUAGAUUUUUUGAAGUCGAGUUGUAAGAGCUACUUAUUGAUAGUUAGUUUAUUACCUAUAUUAGAUUGCAGUUGGCACAUCCACAGUUUGGACAUGCAGGAGUUUACGGCAUGGAAACUAAGCAAUGCAAUGUUGUGGAGAGGGACAGCAGCCAAAUAUAUUUUAGCCACCCAAAGAGACCCAACUGAAGAAUCACUAUCAGUUUAAGUGUAUGCUCACUUGCCCAUGUUCACUGUUAUGCUGAAAAUGACUUUCUGAUGACAAGAUAAAGCAGUUAAAAUAUUCCAAAUAUAGUGUGCACUUAAAAUAAUAUAGAUGUUUUGGGCUAUGCCUUUUUUUUUUUUAGGUUGCUAAAAUAUGUUUUGUUGCUGACUCUGUCCACAGCAAUCUUUGUGUCAGUACUCCUGUCUGCUUCUCCAAAUUGUGGGUGUGCCAGCUUCCAUCUAUACACUGACUAUGAAUAAGUACCUCACAAAACCCUACUUAGGUGAAGCUCUCAGUUUUGCAAGUUGGCCUUUGUUCCAACACUCACUUAUGGUCAUGAGUUCUAGGUGGUGACUGAAAGAACAAGAUUGUAACUACAAGUAGCCAAAAUGGGUUUUGUCUGUACGGUGGGUGGGUUGAGUCCUGAAAUCGAGAGAGGAGCUUGGACAUCCAUGAGUAGAUGGGGAUGGGAGUACAGUCGCUGAUCCUUCAUGUUGACAGGAGCCAGGUGGGGUGGUUUACCAUCUGAUUAGGAUGCCUAGUGGGCGGAAGUUUUCCGGGAAUGUCCAACUAGGGGGAGACCUCGAACCCAGAACCCAGAACCCAGAACCCAGAACUUCCUGGACUACACAUCUCAUCUGGCCUUGGAAUACCUCAGUAUCCUUCAGGAGGAACUGGAAAUUGUUGCUAGGGAGAGGGAAACUGCUGCCAUAAUGACCCAACGCUGAAUAAUUGGAAGAAAAUGGAUGGAUCCGCCAGUAGUUCUCAAAGAGUUAACAUUGUGCUACAGAUCAGUUUAGUGGAUUCUGUUUUCCUUAGAUUAGCUGAAGAACCAGUUUAACAGAGCAAAACCUGUGGUCCAGGUCAGCUAUUGCUUUGUUUAGGAGAUAAAAACAAUUAUAUUCAGGUUAUCCAGAGCAAAGUAUAAUAGCUUGGUUCAGUUUAGCUGGUGGAUUAAUUUGCAAGAUCAAAGAGUUAUUUUCAGAAAAGCCAGUACAGUUUAGGUGAAAUUAGCAAGUGGAUUAUUAUAGGCCAGUUUGUUUCAGGUUUCAGUGAGGACUACAGGUGUAAAUAAGCUGCUGACCCUUUUACACCAGCCUCUAUGAAAUGUCAGUACUGAUUAAUCUACACUGUCCACUUUGAUAGAUAAAUACAUUUCAAAAGAAAACUUGUCAGCAGGUGGAGACUGCAAUGAGACCAUCAGAUGAGAGUUGACAAUAAAAGUACCAGCUGGUUCAUGUUUCCUGAAAGAUGAUAAAGCCUUGCCCUGGCUUUGCAUUUCAAAUGCUUGUUGCAUGUGUCAGAUAUAGUAAUUUUCCGUCACUUUUACAUGUUAUUAAAAUCGCAGUGAAUUUAUGAUCACCGUCAGUGCAAAUGUGCAUGAGUAAAUACUAAAGGACUUUUUGUGGCCCAGAGUUGUACUGCCAUCGCACUGUUAAAUGACAGUUACACUGUGCUGCACCGCACACUUCUACGAAGACAACUCACAUAAAGUGUGUAGCAUUCAAUAUGCUAUCGUUACUUCUGCAAAAAUGGUUCAGUGUCAUAUUCAUUGGUUGGAGCCAUAUUGCAUUUUGUGAGAUAUUGUUCAUUCCACCAGAAUUUGGGUGAUGGUUUAAUGGAGAGUAUAACCACUAAAGUGUUGCCAAGUCAAACAUAUAAAGACUUGUCAAUAUAAACAGCAAUGACUGUAAAUAUGUUCAGAAUGUUCAUGUAAAAUAUUUGUUGUUUUAAAAAAAAGUGAUACUUGAAAUUAUUUAUGUGCAUAGUAGCGACUCUUUAUUUAAAAAAAAAUGUAUUUUAAAUAUUUUUUAAAAAGGUGAAAAUGUUUUAAUAAGAAAUCCUGUAACUGCAGACAGAAUUGUUUUGGAAACUUCAUUGUAGCUUCUGUUGACACUUUUGUGUUUGGUCAGUGCUAAAUGUUACCUAUUUCAUUGUGAAAGUAGUAAACAUGUUUUUCAUAGAACUUG
ensembl:lncRNA